CAUUAGAUGACUGAAAGUAAGUACUGGUCUCUUAAACCAUUUAACAAUAGUUUAACGCCUAUUUCUAAUGA
rnacentral:tRNA from 1 species